UGAGCAAUCUGCCCUUCUCAUCGGAAUAAGAGUUGGAAACGACGUCUAAUGCCGAAUACGACCUCCUUUCGCAUGAUCGGAGGUGGAAAGCUCCGGCGGAGAAGGAUGAGCUCGCGGCCUAUCAGCUAGUUGGUGUGGGUAAUGGCCCACCAAGGCGACGACGGGUAGCCGGCCUGAGAGGGUGACCGGCCACACUGGGACUGAGACACGGCCCAGACUCCUACGGGAGCAG
rnacentral:rRNA from 1 species